GGGCACAUAAGAGCAGGCAGCGUGUCAGCGCUGGUCCCCAAAUCACCUCACUUCGUUGUGAAACUUCCAGUCGGAUCUGGGCUGUGCAAGACAGAGGUUCCAUUUCAGGGAAAUAUUAAAGCAGAAAUUUCAAAGGGACUUCAGAAAAUGCUUAAAGCUCACUGGAACCAAGUUUGCGAGACAGGUUUCCACAGCACAGUCGUUGUUGCUAUUAAAAAGUGAGGAUCACACCUACGCUGUCUGAUUUUGUCCAGUAGUGGCUGUAGAACCAAAUACUGUUUUGCUGUCUGAAGAGAUCUCAGCAAAGGGACAGGAGUUAAAGAGGAACGAUUACAUUGUAAAAAGUCAUAAAACCUUCCAGGAUUAAAAAUCUCAGGUGUUUACACUGUGUCUAUGAAGAGAUUUUUGUAAAGCUUCAAUAUGGAGCCUCACACACAAGAAUGCCAGAAUGGGGACCCUCACCUUGUUGGCAAUGGUUUUCCCAAGUACACUGGCUCCUGGUUAAUCCAGAGGUUUUAAAACAGAGCUUCAAGCCACAAGAUUGCCAGCAGAGGAAACAAAACUAUUUAGCAAAUACUGGCACCUCUGCGACACUUCUGUGUCAGUGCUGGAGUGCUUCAAACUUCUUUAGGGCUGAAGGCAAACAGGUACAUAUCCUCAUGUGUUCAGUGAGAUCAGCGAUGCCAAGAUUGGCCAUGCUGGAAUCCAAUAUCCAGUGUGUAACCUGGACUGCAAACAGAGACGGCUCUUGUACAGAGUGAAAAGAAUUAGUAACCUCUAUACAACAGCUCCGUGCUGACCUUCCUUGUGCUGUGUCCGUACCCAACGCAAUCCAUGCAGACUUGAGCUCGGGGACAAAGGGACUGUGAGGAAACCCUUGCUGCUUCAUUUCCCCUCACUAGCUGUGCAUUGCAUUGUUGCUGAAAUACCUGCAAGAAGCCAGCAUUUCGCUCCUGUCUCUGUUCCCAUCACUUCAGGCAG